UUUAAUUUAGACCUGGUAACAGCUUCGGUGUCGCUUAAACCUCAUUUUGUGUCGAAUCUGCCGGGUUGCAUUUACCUAAAAUGGCAAACACAAGCUACAGACACACAGGGAGCAAUCUUCUUAACUGCCACUGAAGGCUAAUAAAAAUUAGCUGGUGGCAGGUUUUUAUGCACAAACAUGUCUUUGUGAACACAUUCAAACAUUUCGGCGUAUAUUUUAAAUAAAUUAAUUGUGUACUCGGCUGCUGAGGAGCUAUUGUUGACUGCUAAUGUGAGAUGUCUGAAGGAUUACAAUACGAAACUCCGUUGGAAAAAAGUGCUCGGGCAAUUGGCUGGUUAACAGCGGCAGCUCUGGCGCAGCCAAUCAGAGCGCAGCAAGCCGAGGAGCUGUCUGCUAUUAGAGGCACGGCUCAGGAGUCCUUCAACACAGAGCAGAGAGAGAGGGGGCCGAGCGCUAUCGGCAGCCAUUUUCCUAAAAACAGGGACUCAAAUGGCCUAUAUGGGGUUUCCUUUGUUCCAAAAAGGGAUCUAACACUUGAUUUCCUCAUCUCUCACUAUGGACUAUGAUAAAAACUAUGAUUCCUCCUUUUAAAGGAUUGAGAAGAAGGAAGAGAAUGUACUGGAUGUAAUACCCUCUGUGACAUCUUGAGCCUUUUUUCCUCUGCCUUGGAAUCCAUCUUUGUCUUAACUAGGUCAUGGCACACCCAUAAUACAGUAAUAGCAUUUAAGUGAAAAGAAAAUCAAAUGUUGGUGAAUAAACAGCCUGUAUGAUUUUUGGAGAAAUUAGUGGGGAGGAGAAAAAAAACACAGUUUAAAGUGGCAAUGUGUAAUGGCUGUUUGUUGGGCAUUGCACUGUGUAUGGGCCUAUUGUAGGAUAUGAGUAGCAAUGAGUAAGUUCAACUCUUUUAUAAUAAUUUGUUUGCUAAUAAUGUAAAAUGUGAGGCAUGCAGUUACUGUUAUAAAAAAAGUGAUUUCUGUCAAUU